ensembl:miRNA Gm24327 predicted gene, 24327
CCUGGAACUCACUUUGUAGACCAGGCUGGCCUCAAACUCACAGAGAUCCGCCUGAGUCUGCCUCUUGAGUGAGGGGAU